GAGAAGUCAUCAGUAUAUAAAAUCUCAGAAAACCCUUUAAAAAGGGCUGAACUAUUUAGGACAUUGAUGGCAUAUAACUAGGAUAGGCCAUCAAUGGCAGGUGUGGGUCCCAUCUAUCUCCAGAACGAGACCCCGAAGUAAAGGCGAGCACAACGCGCAUACUUGGAGUGCUCUCCAUUCAUCGCUAGGGGGUGUUCCAAAAAUAGCUGAACAGCAAAUAUACUGGGGAAGAUUUUUAACACCCCCUGCAAUUUACCUGAGCAGUGAAAUAUGGGGGGUGCAGCAGGGGAAUCUGUUGUCUAGUAAAAAUUUAUGGCACAAAAUGCAGACCUGGGACAGACAAUGCCCCUUUUACAGGAAGUGCCAAGAAUGGGGCAGGUCGGUGGAGAAGCCUCUUGCAGUAAAGGGAAAGCUUUGUGCAGGGUAAGUAAAGCUAGGUAAGCAAGGUCCCAGAUGCUUCAGAAAACUUCUGCCUCCCCUUACUGUAGUGAUAGAAGCUCAACCUUGUUUACAGAUCCCACGAGACCCUUAAUUAACCCAUAUAGUAACCAGUGCAUAGAUUCAAUGAGCUCCAGAUGGUUUAACCCCUAAUUCCCCAUAUCAUUUUUCUGAAAAAGGUGAGCAGUCUGCAGUACAGCCCAUCCAGUGUGGAGAAAAAAUAACUAGGGGAGGUGUGAGGAGGUUGGUGCUAGCAGGCAGAUAGGUCCCAGAAGCAAAAGAAUUAAAUAAGGCACAGCGUUCCAAACACAAGUGAUAGCAAAAAGUGCAAGCCCCCUCCCGAUACCCCUCAAGACUAUAGAUCAGGUCUCCAUCUAGUAAUAGGCACUGAAGAAAAAAAAAAAAAAAAAAAAAAAAAAAAAAAGCCUACCCACAUCUGCAUGCGGAAGUCAGGAAGGUGCAGGAUGUGAGGGGGAAGGAGGCACAGGGAAAAUGGGGCUCGGUCUACCCACUAGUCAGAUUCCCUGAGACGGUAAGUGCAGGAUUGAGAACAGUGCUGGGCAUAAGACAUGGUGGCCCCUUUAUCAUCCACCCAAAGGUGAUAUGUUUCAAGGGAAAGAAAGGUGAGGUGGGAAAAUCUUGGGAAAUAAAGACACUGAUGGGCCCCGCUAACGCCAUUUAAGACCACCGCUGUCUCAAGAUCCACAAAUUGGGACUUGGAAGACCGCAAGAAUCUUAAAUAAGGUGUGGAUGAACAGUCACAGAAGAGCUCACCCCAUAUAAGGGAAGGGGGGGCAGAUGAGGUGUUGCCCUUUUAGGUGGUCAAUUACAGCUUACUACAACAUCCAAGGGUAAGAACCGACUGUCUGGAUGGCGCACAUGGCUGAUACCCCACCCACAAGCAGCAAUUAGUCACAUGAUUCUGAAGGAAAGACCCGUUUUACUGCAAAAUCAUGCAGCUAUAGGUCACCACAUGUGAGUGAGGUUUCUGCCACAUGCUAAAGCGGUUCUUAACCACAACCACCAGCAAAUGUAGAAGGCCGCUAUUCAUUGCAUAAACGGUUACCCUACAGCUAACAGACUCCACAUUCCCCACUGGUGCAUUCCCCCAGCAAAGCGUUCAUCAUUUAUUUCAAUGGAGCCACCUGGAAGGGAUGACGAUGGAGAAGGGGGAGGUGUAUAACGUAGAAGCCGUCCUGUGGUCGGUAACACAUUGUUAACCAGCACCAGUGAUCACUGAGGAGCCAUGGAUUUAUUCUAGAACAUAUUACAGGUGGUC